rnacentral:misc_RNA from 1 species
GGCGAAAACUCGUAUCCGGUGGCUCUGGGCUUUCGCUGUGCGGUUACCUCCUCGUUUUUACUUCUCCUCCUCCUCUUCCUUCUUCUUCUUUUGUCGUCUGAUGCAGGGCGAGUAGAUAGUCUACAUUUUUAAUCUAAAUUUUUUUUUUUUAAAGUCAUGCAUGUCCGGUUUUCAGAAAUUUCGGAAACAGCCCAGAAACAUCUCGCUGCUGUGUCAUCCCAUUUCUGUAUCGGAUAGCGUUUCCGACACGGGGAAACUCCAGCCAGUGGCAUUUCUGUGCAUUGUCUUAAGCUUAUGCAUACACAAAAUUUUUGCCAAAAAUAUGAUCGAAAGAGAUAAACACGAAACAUCCCAGCACAACAUUUUGUGGAAGUUGGAAUCCAUACUUAGAUUGGUAAACUAUUAAGAUAGUAAACUACUUUCCCAAGCCAGUAAACUACUUUCCCAAGCCCAAGCAAAUAGAGGGUAACUCUGAGCUAAGUUGAUAAAAAAUCUUUUGAUUCUCCAAUAGGACUCAUGUUCUAACAAAUAUAUGCCAAUGCUUAAUAAAAUAAAAGAAUGGUUCUCUGGUUGUUAAAAUCAGCUUCCUGAGUAAAUCUUAGUACAUGAAAUUUGGGCCGUCCUGUACAUUGUAGUUGUCACAAAUACCUGCAGCCCAUCAUCUAAAAUGAAAAAUGUCAGCCUGCUAGUUAUCAGGCAUAUCUCUAGCAUAUGUAAUUGUCUACUAGAUGCAAUUUAGAAAUUAUUUUAACAAACAGUAAGUUACAGGCAACUAAAUGUCUCAAUUUAUUCCCUUUAAGUUACAUAUUCUGGAUAGUAUUGAACCUACCAGUGCGCGCUGGAAAUCAAAACUAAGAUCAGUUGCAAUACAUGAAAAAUGCUUGUAUGUGCAGUGUGAAGAAGAAUAUGAUAUAGAGAAUACCAUAUCUGUUUACCAUAAUCCUUCAUUGCUGUGUUAAAGAAAUUGGAUUACUAGGUAAACAAAAAGAAAAAGAUAAUAAUAAUUUUGCGGCUCUUGUAUCAGUCAAUUUCACAUCUAUCGCUAAUACAGGAUAAAAAAUUAACCUACAAGCUCAAACUCCAUGCUCUGCUAACCUAGACCUCUAACUAAACAAUUAACGUUCAGGAAUAGAAAUACAAAUUCUAAACAAAAAUAUUGAAAAGCCAAACAGGACUCCAAUAAAAAAGCAUCCUAAUCCGACAAACAAUCAGAUCCAUAACAAUGAGAUGAGCAUCAAUCGUCGAACACAAAUUUAAACCCAUUAAGGAAAAGUAAAGAAAUCAAAAGAAUUAAAAGCCAAUUUCGAAAAUUGUUG